UCAGGACGAACGCUGGCGGCGUGCUUAACACAUGCAAGUCGAACGGAAAGGCCCAGCUUGCUGGGUACUCGAGUGGCGAACGGGUGAGUAACACGUGGGUGAUCUGCCCUGGACUCUGGGAUAAGCCUGGGAAACUGGGUCUAAUACCGGAUAUUCACUUUCUCUCGCAUGGGGGUUGGUGGAAAGCUUUUGCGGUUCAGGAUGGGCCCGCGGCCUAUCAGCUUGUUGGUGGGGUAAUGGCCUACCAAGGCGACGACGGGUAGCCGACCUGAGAGGGUGAUCGGCCACACUGGGACUGAGACACGGCCCAGACUCCUACGGGAGGCAGCAGUGGGGAAUAUUGCACAAUGGGCGCAAGCCUGAUGCAGCGACGCCGCGUGAGGGAUGACGGCCUUCGGGUUGUAAACCUCUUUCACCAGGGACGAAGCGUGAGUGACGGUACCUGGAGAAGAAGCACCGGCCAACUACGUGCCAGCAGCCGCGGUAAUACGUAGGGUGCGAGCGUUGUCCGGAAUUACUGGGCGUAAAGAGCUCGUAGGCGGUUUGUCGCGUCGUCUGUGAAAUUCUGCAACUCAAUUGUAGGCGUGCAGGCGAUACGGGCAGACUUGAGUACUACAGGGGAGACUGGAAUUCCUGGUGUAGCGGUGAAAUGCGCAGAUAUCAGGAGGAACACCGGUGGCGAAGGCGGGUCUCUGGGUAGUAAC
rnacentral:rRNA from 1 species